rnacentral:rRNA from 1 species
CAGUCGCCGCGGGAAUACAGAGGGUGCAAGCGUUAAUCGGAAUUACUGGGCGUAAAGCGCGCGUAGGUGGUUUGUUAAGUUGGAUGUGAAAUCCCCGGGCUCAACCUGGGAACUGCAUCCAAAACUGGCAAGCUAGAGUAUGGUAGAGGGUGGAGGAAUUUCCUGUGUAGCGGUGAAAUGCGUAGAUAUAGGAAGGAACACCAGUGGCGAAGGCGACCACCUGGACUGAUACUGACACUGAGGUGCGAAAGCGUGGGGAGCAAACAGGAUUAGAUACCCCCGUAGUCCCUGUCUCUUAUAC